rnacentral:rRNA from 1 species
UGGGGAAUUUUGGACAAUGGGCGAAAGCCUGAUCCAGCAAUGCCGCGUGUGUGAAGAAGGCCUUCGGGUUGUAAAGCACUUUUGUCCGGAAAGAAAUCCUUGGCUCUAAUACAGUCGGGGGAUGACGGUACCGGAAGAAUAAGCACCGGCUAACUACGUGCCAGCAGCCGCGGUAAUACGUAGGGUGCAAGCGUUAAUCGGAAUUACUGGGCGUAAAGCGUGCGCAGGCGGUUUGCUAAGACCGAUGUGAAAUCCCCGGGCUCAACCUGGGAACUGCAUUGGUGACUGGCAGGCUAGAGUAUGGCAGAGGGGGGUAGAAUUCCACGUGUAGCAGUGAAAAUGCGUAGAGAUGUGGAGGAAUACCGAUGGCGAAAGGCAGCCCCCUGGGCCAAAUACUGACACUCAUGCACGAAAAGCGUGGGGAGCAAAACAGGAUUAGAUACCCUGGUAGUCCACGCCCUAAAACGAUGUCAAACUAGUUGUUGGGGAUUCAUUUCCUUAGUAAACGUAGCUAAACGCGUGAAGUUGACCGCCUGGGGAGUACGGUCGCAAGAUUAAAAACUCAAAGGAAUUGACGGGGUCAUAGCUGUUUCCU